UACGGGGGGGCAAGCGUUGUUCGGAAUUACUGGGCGUAAAGGGCUCGUAGGUGGCCAACUAAGUCAGACGUGAAAUCCCUCGGCUUAACCGGGGAACUGCGUCUGAUACUGGAUGGCUUGAGUUUGGGAGAGGGACGCGGAACUCCUAGUGUAGAGGUGGAAUUCGUAGAUAUUAGGAAGAACACCAGUGGCGAAGGCGGCUCACUGGUCGGUACUGACGCUGAGGUGCGAAAGCGUGGGAGCAAACAGG
rnacentral:rRNA from 1 species